ACCAGCCAGACUCUUUACCCAUCAGAUCUAAACAUUGGUCUGAGUCACCAUAAAAGGAGGAAAAUUAAACUCAAACCGACUUGGAUUAUUUUGUGAUAUACGAGCCAGUUUCAAACAAAC
rnacentral:snoRNA from 1 species